GAUGAACGCUGGCGGCGUGCUUAACACAUGCAAGUCGAACGAUGAAGCCCAGCUUGCUGGGUGGAUUAGUGGCGAACGGGUGAGUAACACGUGAGCAACCUGCCCCUGACUCUGGGAUAAGCGCUGGAAACGGCGUCUAAUACUGGAUAUGUCCCGUCACCGCAUGGUGUGCGGGUGGAAAGAUUUUUCGGUUGGGGAUGGGCUCGCGGCCUAUCAGCUUGUUGGUGAGGUAAUGGCUCACCAAGGCGUCGACGGGUAGCCGGCCUGAGAGGGUGACCGGCCACACUGGGACUGAGACACGGCCCAGACUCCUACGGGAGACAGCAGUGGGGAAUAUUGCACAAUGGGCGAAAGCCUGAUGCAGCAACGCCGCGUGAGGGAUGACGGCCUUCGGGUUGUAAACCUCUUUUAGCAGGGAAGAAGCGAAAGUGACGGUACCUGCAGAAAAAGCACCGGCUAACUACGUGCCAGCCGCCGCUGUAAGAC
rnacentral:rRNA from 1 species